UGAAAGGAGAGUGCUUUCUGUGUGGAGGCUACUUUCUGAGAAGGAGUGUUCUAUAAGCAGAAGAACCUCAUCACCAGUUGGUUUGUUGGUUCACAAUACAGCAACAAAACUUUAAACAGAGGAAACUUUAUUCCAAAAGAAAACUCUGUAUCCCCCCGAGAACACCUGGAAGAGGACACGUUUUGCUGUGUUUUCCUUAUGCAUGGCUGCUCUGCUUCCUGCUAUUUUCUUUUUCCACUGCUGUGAUAAUAAGGUGGAUGCUGGAAACACCCUUCAGUGAUCCACAUCUUGCCAAGUAAUGCUCAUCACCAAUAUCUCAGCAUCCUGCAGUAACGCUUUAUGUGUCCUCACACCAAGCAAGUCAGGAAAUGACCUACAAAGACUUCUACAUCAACUCCAGGAAUGAAUGCAAAUAUUGGACACAAAUCUGAACAUUGGAGGACAAGAUUCUUGAGGGUGGGGGUAAUGAAAAAAUGACGACAUACAAGGCAAAGGUUUUUAAGGUGCAGACAGUAAAAUAACAAAAUGUGUCUGGAAAUCUACAUCUUGCAAAUUUUGUUAAUCCAGCACUCCUAAUUUAAGCAUAUAUUUGAGCCAGAGCCACAACCUAAAACUGCUUCCUGCAAGUUCAAAUGGAGCCUCUACAGCAGCACCCGUGAGCUGGUACACUACUUGACCCUCAGCAUGCACCUUUAACAGUUGGGUGUUGACUAAUCCACUCCCAGACUCACUCUCUCUUUUUGGGCCAAAACAUCUUCAUGCUGCACCUGGGCAGGGGGGCAGCUUCAGUAGGAAAGGAGUGUAGCUCAGACAGAGAGGGGGUGAUAACUCCUACAGUAGAUGUAUGUGCUUGUUUCCUUUCAAAUUUAACAGUUAUGGAUUUGCUUACAAUUUAAAUAUCUAAGACUUCACUUCUUCCUUAGGACAAUCAUUUUUCCCUUCUCACUGUGGUCUCCUUGUCUUGACCAGUUCCCUCAAGGCAGCAGCCUGCAGGCCAAGUCAGGCCUCAGCACUACCAUUUUCCACUGAUGAGCUCACACUUACCUCUGGGGGGAAAGGACUGGUACAGGGACGUCUAUCUGAUCCUCACAACAGGAUGUAUGUUGGUGUUGCUGGAGAUACAGAAUGAAAUAGCACAAUAUGACUUUUUUUUUUGUAUUAUCUUCAUGAUAACAGACUUCUUUUCAUCUUACCUGCGUUUUUCACUGCUUUUGUCCAAAACACUUGAAAUCUAAAAUCUGCCAUUGGCAACAGCUGUAAGAAGUGCGUGAGUGUGGAGGGUUGCAUGGCUGCAGACCACCAUUUGUCACAGAAACAAGACCAUGUUCAUGCUUCUCACUUCCUUUCUCGUCAGCCACUAAGGCUGAGACCCUUUGGUCAUCCUCAGUGCUGGCAAGGCGGGGGAUGGCAGGAGGUCUCCCACGUUUUCCACAGUGAAGAAGGCUAAGAUAGGGCACCACUGACUUCAUUACUCUCAGGGCAGGAGUAGGAUCUGUAGCUCUCCAUGUGUCUCCUGCUCUGGCUUCCCCUCGGCCCACAGCCUGUGCAGGCAAGAGGACAGAGCGCUGGAGGUCAUUGCACCCCAAAUACUAAAUACCAGUGACGUUGCAGCUGUGCACGAUUUUAUGUUUAAGUUAAGGGAGUUACUUAUUUCCAGUCACACUCAGUUUGUAAUCGAGGUUGCCAGACUUAUCUCUGGGAACAGGAUUUCUUCUGGAAACAGGCCAUUGUGAAAAUACCCAUAUAUCUACAAAAGACACACUGCUUUCUUCCUUUGGAAAGUUGCAUUUUGUCACUAAAAACAGGGUGGAGGUGUGAUUCUGAUAUUCUCAUUGUCAGGCUUAAGCUUUAAGUGGAAAACUUAGAGACACCAUUGCUGGUAUGCAAUCAAACGUGACAAUCAGAUUACAAUAUCAUUGGCUACCUCCCAAAACAAAAUCUGUUGAUGCUUAUUAAAUCUGAAGAAAAUGAUCUCAUGAUAAAAAUAGCAAUUCAAAUGAAGCCAGACAGACUUGAGUGAUAUUUACCGCAAACAGCUUUCUAGGUGUCUGAGGAAACACUGUGCCACCCAAGAGUCAAUAAAUUAAAUGUGUUUUGAAGAAAUGUUAGCAAGUAAGAGAACAGCUUGUUUGUUUUCAAGUAAAAGGAGAUACUCCAAAAGAAAUAAUGCAGACUGUAUGGGAAGAGCUUAAUUAAUAUCCCUAUACACUAUCUUCCCAGAGAAACAACAGGGAAACAGGAGUCUAUGUCAAUUAAUUGGGCAAAAAUAUCUGCUUAGUUAAAGGGGUGUAAUUAAGAACCAUGUCCUGAGAACUGCUUUUAGAGACCUUUUGCUGCUUAAAAAAAAUUAUCUGGGACAAGUUUUCCACUGAAUAGUAGUUUCAGUAGCAGUAGUUUGUUUGAUUAAAAUGUCUGGACAGAAAGUUUGCAAAGGAUUCAGCCAAUAACAGAAAAAUCUACCUUCAGAUAUUUGCAUUAACUAGAAUCCAUACACAGAAGAAAAAUCAGGUGGUGCUUACUUAGAGAUUGAUGCUUAUUCUGAGUGACAGAUGUUGACACCCCUCCCUUCCCUCUCCUUUUGCAUUUUCCCCUUCUAUUUGUUCUUUGACCAACCUUAACAGAGAUGCUCAGAAUAUAAAUGAAUCAAGUUGUGUAUAUCCCACCAGUAAAAAUAAUGGGUGAUGAAGAAAAGUCCAUGAAAAAAAUAAUAGGCUUUGGACAGCAUGCAACAAAGAAUGCAACAAAAUUUGAGGAAAGAGAAAAUAAAUGGAAUAGCUGCAUUCAAAACAGCCUCCAUUCUUUAAGUUCAAUGCGUCAAGGGGUGCACUGAGAAACAUGGCAGGCAAUUAAAAAAGACCUUGUCAUUAUAUACGUGUACAUGUGAGUAUGAUCACAAUUCUUGCACAGAUCCAACGUUUCUCAAAGUCUGAAUACAAUACUGGAAAAAUAAUAAAGUAUGAUGCAUUUAUCUAAAUGUAUUGAUUCAUCUUAAAGAGUUAUUCCAUAAUGUAUUUUGUAUCCUUGUAUUUCAAAUUUUCA